rnacentral:rRNA from 1 species
CGGCGUGCCUAACACAUGCAAGUCGUACGAGAAAGCCGGCUUCGGCUGGUGAGUAAAGUGGCGCACGGGUGAGUAACGCGUGGAUAAUCUGCCCUUAAGUGUGGAAUAACGUACCGAAAGGUGCGCUAAUACCGCAUAAUGCCUGGCAACACAAGUUGUCCGGCCAAAGAAGGCCUCUGUUUACAAGCUUUCGCUUCAGGAUGAGUCCGCGUACCAUUAGCUUGUUGGUGGGGUAAUGGCCUACCAAGGCUGCGAUGAUUAGCUGGUCUGAGAGGAUGAUCAGCCACACUGGAACUGAGACACGGUCCAGACUCCUACGGGAGGCAGCAGUGAGGAAUAUUGCGCAAUGGGGGCAACCCUGACGCAGCAACGCCGCGUGAGUGAGGAAGGUUUUCGGACUGUAAAGCUCUGUCGAGCGGGAAGAAGUGUACCAUGGCUAAUAUCCAUGAUAUUUGACGGUACCGCUAGAGGAAGCACCGGCUAACUCCGUG